GCUGGGUAACACCCAGUGGGGGCAACCCUAAGGCUAGUGCCACAGAAACAUACCGCCCGCAGGGGCAAGGGUGAAACGGUGAGGUAAGAGCUCACCAGCGCAAUCGGUAACGGUUGCGGCUAGGUAAACCCCACCGGGAGCAAGACCAAGAGGGCGCUUCGGCGUCUGCGCUGACGGGCUGCUCGUCUGCAUCAGCGGGUAGGUUGCACCGAGGUGUCCAGCAAUGGGCACCCCAGAUGGAUGGUCGCCUAUCCCUUCGGGGAGCACAGAAUCCGGCUUAUAGGCCAACUCAUUUG
rnacentral:RNase_P_RNA from 1 species